rnacentral:rRNA from 1 species
UGAGUAAUGCCUAGGAAUCUGCCUGGUAGUGGGGGAUAACGCUCGGAAACGGACGCUAAUACCGCAUACGUCCUACGGGAGAAAGCAGGGGACCUUCGGGCCUUGCGCUAUCAGAUGAGCCUAGGUCGGAUUAGCUAGUUGGUGAGGUAAUGGCUCACCAAGGCGACGAUCCGUAACUGGUCUGAGAGGAUGAUCAGUCACACUGGAACUGAGACACGGUCCAGACUCCUACGGGAGGCAGCAGUGGGGAAUAUUGGACAAUGGGCGAAAGCCUGAUCCAGCCAUGCCGCGUGUGUGAAGAAGGUCUUCGGAUUGUAAAGCACUUUAAGUUGGGAGGAAGGGCAUUUACCUAAUACGUAAGUGUUUUGACGUUACCGACAGAAUAAGCACCGGCUAACUCUGUGCCAGCAGCCGCGGUAAUACAGAGGGUGCAAGCGUUAAUCGGAAUUACUGGGCGUAAAGCGCGCGUAGGUGGUUCGUUAAGUUGGAUGUGAAAUCCCCGGGCUCAACCUGGGAACUGCAUUCAAAACUGUCGAGCUAGAGUAUGGUAG